rnacentral:rRNA from 1 species
AUGUAUGCUGGAUCUAAAAAGUACAAGAAGCGGAGAAUGGACUGGAUGGACAUGGAGUUUAAGCCUCAAGAUCCUGAGGGCAAGCUCCCUACUUCCAUGCGGUUCGGGCCGCUGGUCACCCGAGCAAAGUUCUUCCAGCUGUGCUCGCCGGAGGACCUGACGCUGGGAAGAUCCCUGAUGAGGGUCGGCUCGAUGUUCGUGGACGACCUGAAACUGCAGCCGCCAUACACCGAAGCUCGCUACGGGUCUGUGCGCAAGGUGUUCAUCGUCCUCAAGGACGACAACGCCAUCUUCGAGGGAUUCCAACGCUGGAUGGUGCAGAACUACCCCGUGGACGAGGUCAGGGAAAUCCACGGCGCUGACCAAAUGGCGUUGCUCUCGACGCCGGCCGAACUGGCGCGCUGCCUCGCCGACGUCGCUGGCAAGUAUGCUGCCUCCAUUGACGAUGGUGUGGCGCCCGUUCCUCGUUGCCGGUAUUAA